rnacentral:tRNA from 1 species
AAUAUAGUGCCUGAUAAAAGGAUAGUUUUGAUAGGACUAAUCAUGUAACUUAUGUUACCUAUAUUA